rfam:Coxiellaceae bacterium CC99 CC99x_contig000004, whole genome shotgun sequence.
GAUCAAGCGAAUAAGCGCAUACGGUGGAUGCCUUGGCAGUAAGAGGCGAUGAAGGACGUAGUAGCCUGCGAUAAGCUUCGGGGAGCUGGCAAACAAGCUUUGAUCCGGAGAUGUCCGAAUGGGGAAACCCAACUAGGCUUGCCUAGUUAUUACUUUCUGAAUUCAUAGGAAAGUAAAGCAAACGCGGGGAACUGAAACAUCUAAGUACCCGUAGGAAAAGAAAUCAACCGAGAUUCCGUUAGUAGCGGCGAGCGAAAGCGGAACAGCCCAGUCACAUCAAGCUCAGAUAAAUUAGUUGAACAUUUUGGAAAAUUUGGCGAUACAGGGUGAUAGCCCCGUAAACAAAAAUCUAUUUGAGUGGGUGACGAAGAGUAGGCCGGGACACGUGGUAUCCUGGUUGAAGAUAGGGGGACCAUCCUCUAAGGCUAAAUACUCCUUACUGACCGAUAGUGAACAAGUACCGUGAGGGAAAGGCGAAAAGAACCCCGGAGAGGGGAGUGAAAUAGAACCUGAAACCGUAUGCGUACAAGCAGUAGGAGCACGAUUUAGUCGUGUGACUGCGUACCUUUUGUAUAAUGGGUCAGCGACUUAUUUUCAGUAGCAAGCUUAACUUUUUUUAGGUAGGCGUAGGGAAACCGAGUCUGAAUAGGGCGAUUUAGUUGCUGGGAAUAGACCCGAAACCGGGCGAUCUAUCCAUGACCAGGAUGAAGGUGAGGUAACACUUACUGGAGGUCCGAACCCACUAAUGUUGAAAAAUUACGGGGAUGAGUUGUGGAUCGGAGUGAAAGGCUAAUCAAGCUCGGAAAUAGCUGGUUCUCCUCGAAAGCUAUUUAGGUAGCGCCUCGUGCAAUUGACUCUUGGGGGUAGAGCACUGUUUCGGCUAGGGGGUUCGUAGAGCUUACCAACCCGAUGCAAACUCCGAAUACCAAGAAGUUUUAUCACGGGAGACACACGGCGGGUGCUAACGUCCGUCGUGAAGAGGGAAACAACCCAGACCGUCAGCUAAGGUCCCAAAAUUGUGGUUAAGUGGGAAACGAUGUGAGAAGGCAUAGACAGCCAGGAGGUUGGCUUAGAAGCAGCCAUCCUUUAAAGAAAGCGUAAUAGCUCACUGGUCGAGUCGGCUUGCGCGGAAGAUUUAACGGGGCUCAAACCACAUACCGAAGCUACGGGUGUGCACUUUUGUGCACGCGGUAGAGGAGCGUUCUGUAAGCCUGUGAAGGUGUGUUGUAAAGCAUGCUGGAGGUAUCAGAAGUGCGAAUGCUGACAUAAGUAACGAUAAAGCGGGUGAAAAACCUGCUCGCCGAAAGUCCAAGGUUUCCUGCUCGACGUUAAUCGGAGCAGGGUGAGUCGGCCCCUAAGGCGAGGUCGAAAGGCGUAGUUAAUGGGAAACAGGUUAAUAUUCCUGUACUUGGUAGUGUUGCGAUGGAGGGACGGAGAAGGUUAUAUCAGCCGAUGAUUGGUUGUAUCGGUUUAAGUCCGUAGGGAGUUGGCUUAGGUAAAUCCGGGCUGACAAUCCUGAGAGAUGAUGACGAGAUUCCUUAGGGAAUUGAAGUGAUUGAUACCAUGCUUCCAAGAAAAGCUUCUAAGCAUAAACACUAUUAAACCGUACCGUAAACCGACACAGGUAGACAAGUUGAGAAGACAUAGGCGCUUGAGAGAACUCGGGUGAAGGAACUAGGCAAAAUGACACCGUAACUUCGGGAGAAGGUGUGCCAUCUCAGGUGAAGUCCCUCGCGGACUGAGCUAGAGGUGGUCGAAGAUACUAGGUGGCUGCGACUGUUUAUCAAAAACACAGCACUCUGCAAACUUGAAAGAGGAAGUAUAGGGUGUGACGCCUGCCCGGUGCCGGAAGGUUAAUUGAGAGUGUUAGCUUCGGCGAAGCACUUGAUCGAAGCCCCGGUAAACGGCGGCCGUAACUAUAACGGUCCUAAGGUAGCGAAAUUCCUUGUCGGGUAAGUUCCGACCUGCACGAAUGGCGUAACGAUGGCCACGCUGUCUCCACCCGAGACUCAGUGAAAUUGAAAUCGCUGUGAAGAUGCAGUGUACCCGCGGCAAGACGGAAAGACCCCGUGCACCUUUACUACAGCUUUGCACUGGACUUUGAGUAUUUAUGUGUAGGAUAGGUGGGAGGCUUUGAAGCGUUAUCGCUAGAUAGCGUGGAGCCAACCUUGAAAUACCACCCUUAAGUGCUUGAGGUUCUAACACAGUCCUCUGAAUCGAGGACGUGGACAGUGUAUGGUGGGUAGUUUGACUGGGGCGGUCUCCUCCUAAAGAGUAACGGAGGAGCGCGAAGGUACCCUAGGCAUGGUCGGAAAUCAUGCUGAUAGUGUAAAAGCAUAAGGGUGCUUGACUGCGAGACUGACAAGUCGAGCAGGUACGAAAGUAGGUUUUAGUGAUCCGGUGGUUCUGAAUGGAAGGGCCAUCGCUCAACGGAUAAAAGGUACGCCGGGGAUAACAGGCUGAUACCCCCCAAGAGUUCACAUCGACGGGGGUGUUUGGCACCUCGAUGUCGGCUCAUCACAUCCUGGGGCUGUAGUCGGUCCCAAGGGUAUGGCUGUUCGCCAUUUAAAGUGGUACGCGAGCUGGGUUCAGAACGUCGUGAGACAGUUCGGUCCCUAUCUGCCGUGGGCGUUUGAGAAUUGAGAGGAUCUGCUCUUAGUACGAGAGGACCGGAGUGGACGUACCUCUGGUGUUCCGGUUGUCACGCCAGUGGCAUUGCCGGGUAGCUAUGUACGGAAGGGAUAACCGCUGAAAGCAUCUAAGCGGGAAGCCCACCUCAAGAUGAGUUCUCACGAGAUGUAAAUCUCCUAAAGGUUUGUCAUAGACCAUGACGUUGAUAGGCAGGGUGUGUAAGCGCUGUAAGGCGUUGAGCUAACCUGUACUAAUUGACCGUGCGGCUUGAUCAU